UACGUAGGCAGCGAGCGUUGUUCGGAGUUACUGGGCGUAAAGAGUGCGUAGGCGGUUUUCUAAGUUUGGUGUGAAAUCUCCCGGCUCAACUGGGAGGGUGCGCCGAAGACUGGAAGGCUUGAGUAUGGGAGAGGUAAGCGGAAUUCCUGGUGUAGCGGUGAAAUGCGUAGAUAUCAGGAGGAACACCGGUGGCGAAGGCGGUUCUCUGGGCAUUACCUGACGCUGAGGAGCGAAAGUGUGGGGAGCGAACAGG
rnacentral:rRNA from 1 species